UUCUUACUAAAAUGCCAUCACUCCACAUUUUUUUAGCUGUGUCCUUGGCAUGUGGAAGGAAUCAAACCUAGGCCACAGCAGUGAUAAUGCCCAGUCCUUAACCGCUGGUUGAACUCCACCAACUACAUUUUAAUUAAAAGUUAUAAGGGCAGGAAGUCAUAAGAGUGCUUUAAUAACUGGCAUUAUCCAAUGCCCUGCAUUUUUCUAGCCUCAGAUCUCCACUUAAUUCACAAAUGGAAAAGCAUCCAUAUGAAUCCUAUGUUUUCAAGGCAAAAAUCUACAGGUUAUUGUGUAAUGCAAUAUUAAUUUUAUAACUUUCAAAAACUCAUAUGGGAUCUUUGGAUAACUCUUCAUUCAUCCUUUUAAAGCUCAAAAUUAACUAAAAAGUUAUAAAUCUAUACCAGAAGUCUGGGUGGGAGAUGAAACAGGAGGCUUAAAAUCUUGAAAUUCCCUUUUUCCCAAUCAGUCCCUGGCCCCAUUAGUUUUCCCCCAAAUCUUCUAUUUCACCUUCUUACUCUGUGUUACUGGGGCUCAUUUGCUACCUUAUUUAUUUUAUUAUUUCCUCAGAAACUUUUUCCUACCCCAAGGUUAUACGUUCAAGGAGAUUUCUAAUUUUUGGUAAUUCAUAGUUUGUUUAACAGAGGCUCAGAAGAUACGGAGUUAAUGUUAUGAUCAUCAGCAUUAUUUGCAACAUUUUGCAAAGGUUUGUUGGCCUUUUCUUUUUUUUUUUUUUCCUUUUUAGAGCUGCACUCGUAUGGCAUAUGGAAGUUCACAGGCUAGAGCUUCAGGUGCUGGCCACAGCCAUAGGCACAGCCACAGCAACGUGGGAUCCGAGCUACAUCCACAACCUACACCACAGCUCAUGGCAACUCUGGAACCUUAACCCACUGAGGGAGGCCAGGGAUCAAAUCCACAUCCUCAUGGAUACGUCGAGUUCAUUACAGCUGAGCCACACCAGGAACUUCCAGUUUGUUGGUCUUUAAACUUGACCUUCAAACAAGAGAAUUACUUAUAUUGGCAUUUCUCAACCUCGGCACUCUUGAUAUGCUGGGAGCCCAAUGAGUCUUGUUUGCGGGGGCCAUCCUAUAUCUUGCAGGAAUUUUAGCAGCAUCCCCAGCCCCUACUCGCUAGACGCCAGAAGUCUUCCCCCAAGUUGUGACAGCCAAAGUUAUCCCCAGACACUGCCAAAGGCCCCCGGGGAAGCAAAAGUCACCAAGGGUUGAGAACCACCGGUUGAAAUGAUGAGGAUGCUGAUAACAAGAUCUUAUCAUGUGCCAGAAACUAUCCUAAGUAUUUUAAGUGCACAUUAUCUGAGUCACAAGAAAGGUUCUGUGAUUUCCACAUUAUAGAUGAGACAGUUUGAGCACAGAGAAGUUACUAAGACAUUUAGCAUCACGUGGCCAGUGAAUAAGACAGCUGGGAUUCAGACUCAAGCAGAGUGACCUUGGAGUCUGUAUUUUCCUUUGUCAGGCUACAGCUGCUUUGCUGAAAUCACACAAGCAACACUGAAAUCCAGAAAAAACAUGGAUCAUUUGGGGUUUAAAUUCUUUUUCAUGAUGUCAAACAUUUAAAUCUUGGAAAAUAGACUUCCUACAAAUUCAAAAUCUGUCCAGAUAAGUAGGUCCUCUUCUUCCCUUAGUCCUAUUCACUGAACUGGCAAAUUCUAUCAAAGACCAGGUUUCCCAGGCAAAGAAGUAAAGUUCACAAGGAAUUAGAUUCCUGAGAUGACAUCCUAACAAAACCAUGGUCAUGAGUAUGAGAUCCAUGAAUACCAAAAGGCUGCUAAUACGUUUUAUUAUCUUAUUGUCAUCAUUUGAAUAACGAGGGUCUGUUUAUUUUUAUUAGAAGAAAAUAAUUAAAAUUAGCUUAAAGCACUUUUCCUAUGUCCCUUAGCAUUCAAAUACCAUUUUAUCUUAUUUAUUUAUAGCAUUCGUUCCACAAAAAGUAACCAGCGAAAAUUAAAUUUCUUUUCCCACCUCUCCCUCUUAACUCUGUGUGGCAGAGGUUCUAUUUCUGUACGAAAUAAAAACUAUCAUACUAUAUAUUUGAUAAAGGCUUUGCCUUUGGGUCUUCAUAAAAUGUGCUCGUCUUUUUCUCUAAAACCUUCUUCCAAUUUGUUUCAAUCUGACUAUUAAUUGUUUAAAAGGAGCAUAGUGUAAUAACCAAAGUUUUCUAUCUACUCAAGCACAAUUAAUUUAUAUAAUAUGAAAUACAUGACAUUAUUAUUUUCUUUCAAGCUUCUAGGAAAGUUGGUUGAAAUAAUAGUAAUAACCCAGACUGCUUAACUUACAUUUAUGGAUUUGUUUCUAUAUGCCAUUCACUAUUUUAACAGUUAUUCAUAUAUUAACUCUUUUAAUCAAGUAACAACCUUUAGGUAGGUACAUUUAACAUCUCUAUUUUGGAAUGAAAAACCAGAACCCCAGAGAGAUUAAAGAGUCUGAUCAAAGUCACACAGCUCGGAAACUAUUUAGCUGGUUUAUUUGGCAAGAAAACUGUGCUGGCAUCCCUUACGUAUACGGCUUUCCUAAAGUGUGGCAAUUAUCAUCGCAUAUAACAUUAUUCAUUAUUGUAAUAGGUGGAGAGAUGAAUUCAAUUAGACACAGUAGGAAAAAUGUACUUGGUCUCUUAAAAAUUGUACCAUCUGUGAAAUUCUUGGCAGCAGAGGAUAAGAACUUUGUCUUAUGAAGACGUGAAUUAAUAAAAUUGUAAAAAUGGUUUUGAAUCCAGUGAUUCUAAAUGAGGACUUAGACAGUUAAUGGAUUUUCCUUCUUCCCCUCUCCUGAGCUCAAAUAUCUGGGUCCUCCAUGCCUUUCACGUCAUCCGUGUCAGUGACACCAAGUUCUCCGGUUUGCUUGCUUCAGUCCUGGAUUAUACUGGCCCUGGUGUUCUUUGCUAUUUACACUUUCCCAAAUUUCUCAUAUUUGACCAAAACUUUCAUACAAUAAUUGUAUUAAAAUAAGCCAGAAUGAGUUAAGUCAAUCUCCCUUUUACUUCCAGUUUCUGCUGUCAUUUCAUCUUGCGGUACGUUUGUUCUGAGAAUGGAGAGGCCACAAGCCUCUCUCUUCAUUUGAUCUUUUCCAGAUGCAACAGAUAACUACUACCUCCCUUUCCAGGACAGCAUGCAGGGUGCCAGCUGAUAAAAUAAAAUAUGCUUUGCGAGAAGCAGCUCCGGACAGUUACUCCCCUGCGGUCUUGUAUGUUGACAGUGAGAGAAGAAAUCUGCCCAUCUGCCCCUGCGGGUCCCUUGGUCUUAGCAGCUAGUUUGUUGUCCCCUGACCCCUUCCUAGUGUUGUGAGAUGCCUGAAGCUAUUAGGAUACCAAUCAUCUGGGUCAGAGGGAAACACUGAAAAUGAUAGGCCAAGCAUACAUGAAUUGUGUAAGGGAGUAAGUCUGGGCAGUCCUGCUACAGGGUAUAGAAAAUAGCAAACACUCCAGAUAUUAUGAGAGUUUUAAAAACUGUAUUGUAUAAUGUAAAUCUAUAAUCUGUUGACUUUUUAUUUAUGCUAAUACAUUUUAUUCUGAAAUAAAAUCUUUAGAUGGCAAUUGCAUGAGAAAAUAGAAACGGGAAUUUAAAGUAAUAAGUGCAGAGUUUCCAUUUCUCAAGAAAGUAGAUGAUGCACUUGGAACUGGAGCAAAAUGUGUUUCAGUAUUUACCAUCUACCUAGAGUACUGAACUGACCCUAUGACAAUCGGAAAACGUAAAUCUACAAUACAAGCAGCAGCAUUUUAAGAAGAAGAUGCCCAAAGACAACCUCAAACACAUGCAAGUGUAAAUGUGGACUGACUAUAUAUCAAUCUAUAAAGCAUUUGUUUUUAAUUUGGAUAAUUUACUAUUUUAAAUUAAUCCUGCCAAUCCAUUCUAAGAAGUUUUUGGUGGUCGUGUGUGUGUUUAACCGUGGGGAGAGUAAAGAGAAAGCUGUCAAUAUAGGCACUCCAUGAGGAAGCGAACCAGUAAGUGAUGCCUUACGUUAAUUGCAUUGUUUUCAGAAAUUUCAAACAGAAAAGCAGCUCCGCUAAUUCUGACAAAAGUUUGAUUUUGUUUUUCAUCUGACUCAUGGAAUCAAAGUAAAGCUGUUGAAAUUCAUUCUACCAAAGGUCAAAGAUCUGACUUUACUGUGAAUGCUGCUAUAAGUUCAAAGUUCAACGUUGAAGAUACUUUUUUUUCUUUUUCUUUUUUUGUCUUUUUUGCCAUUUCUUGGGCCGCUCCCACGGCAUAUGGAGGUUCCCAGGAAAAGGGUCGAAUCAGAGCUGUAGCCACCAGCCUAUGCCAGAGCCAUAGCAACAGGGGAUCUGAGCCAUGUCUGCAACCUACACUUACACAACGCCGGAUCCUUAACCCACUGAGCAAGGGUAGGGAUCAAACCCGCAAUCUCAUGGUUCCUAGUCAGCUUCGUUAACCAUUGAGCCACGACGGGAACUCCAAUAUUUUUUUCUUGUGUGAUAAUAUAAAUUUAAAAAUGGGCGGAGCACAACAUAAUAGUAAAAAAGCAAUGUUCUUACUAAACAACCUAUGGAGAAAAAAAUGUACUUGGAAUUGGUCAUGAAGCACAGAUAAUUCAUGAAUGUUGUCAAACCGGGGAAAUAUGCCACUAAUCACAACUGAAAAUAUAAAUGUCAAAAUUUAUACAUAUCAAGGAAUAUACCAUGGAACUACAAUUUUCUUUUUUUGCAACAAAGUGAUGUUUUCUAAAAAAAAAAAGCUCAGCCUCAUAACAAUGUAAUAUUCCUUCUUCACUGAUCCUCUUGGAUCUGAUUUUAGAAUAUUAGAGCCUUUGCAAACAACUUGUAAAUCAGUCUCAAUCUCUAGUAUGAAUUGAAUGUUUUUGUAAACAAUCCCCCUGAAAUGUGAUAGCAUUUGUUCAAAAUGAGUUGGAAAUCUUCAACACCUAUUUCAAUUAAUAGAGUGCCCAAGACUUCAACUGUUGAAUAUUUUAGUAAAUUGCAAUUAUAGAAAAUAAAGCUUAGGAGUUCCCAUUGUGGUGCAGCAGAAACAAAUCCUACUAGUAUCCAUGAGGCUAUGGGUUCAAUCCCUGGCCUCGCUCAGUGGGUCAGGGAUCCUGAGUUUACCAUGAGCUAUGGUGUAGGUCACAGACACGGCUCGGAUCCAGAGUUGCUGUGGCUGUGGCAUUUGCCAGCAGCUCCAAUUCGAUACCUAGCUUGGGAACUUCCAUAUGCU
rnacentral:lncRNA from 1 species